AUAAUCUAUAAUUAAUAUAAAAUUUAAAUACACGAAACCAUUCGAGCUAAAUUUUAUGGAAUGUUAGUUUCUAAAAUUAACGUAGUAUCGUUAAAACUAUUAAUGGAGUUUAGGGGUGAUAGGCUGGUCAAGUCUGGGGAUAUCUUGUUAUUUAGGAAAUAUAUCUAGUAUAGUAAUACAGUAUUAAAAUGGUAAGGUUUUAAUAAUUCAUAAUUAAAGUGUACUAUAAAUUUAUUGGGAGAACUAAAAAACGCCAAGUUAGAUAAAAUAAUAUUAAUUACAUAACAAUAUGGUAAAUUACUAAAUUCUAAUAUAUAAUUGUAUAUACUAGUAAAACUGAUAGUAUUAGUAGUUAUAGAUAUAUUUAUUAGGAACUCGGCAAAGAGUAUUCUCGACUGUUUAUCAAAAACAUAGUUUUAAGUAUAAUAUUUAAAAUGAAACCUGCUCAAUGAUUUGUUAAAUAGCCGCAGUACCUUGACUGUGCAAAGGUAGCAUAAUCAAUUGGCUUAUAAUUGAAGUCUGGGAUGAAAGGGAAUUAGGGGAUUAGCUCUCUUAUUUGUAGUACUUGAAUUUACUAAUUAAGUGAAAAUACUUAAAAAUAGAAAAAAGACGAGAAGACCCUAGAAAUUUUUUAAAUAAUCUUUUGCUUUUUAUUUUGUUGGGGCGACAUGGUAACAAAUAACUUACCUAAAUAUAUAGGAAUUUAAUUUAAAGUAUAACUAAAUUACUCUAGGGAUAACAGCAUAAUAUUGAAAAGUUUGUGACCUCGAUGUUGGACUAGGGAAAUUACCACCUAAAAGGUAGUAUUUUUUGCUCUGUUCGAGCAUUUUAACCCUACAUGAUCUGAGUUCAGACCGG
rnacentral:rRNA from 1 species